UGCCCGAUCGUCUAAAGGUAAGACAGCGGACUCUGACUCCGCUAAUCGAGGUUCGAAUCCUCGUCGGGCAUCCA
rnacentral:tRNA from 2 species